UACGUAGGGGGCAAGCGUUAUCCGGAUUUACUGGGUGUAAAGGGAACGUAGGCGGCGACGCAAGUCAGAAGUGAAAGCCCGGGGCUCAACUCCGGGACUGCUUUUGAAACUGCGUUGCUAGAUUGCGGGAGAGGCAAGUGGAAUUCCUAGUGUAGCGGUGAAAUGCGUAGAUAUUAGGAGGAACACCAGUGGCGAAGGCGGCUUUCUGGACGAACACUGACGCUGAGGUACGAAAGCGUGGGGAGCAAACAGG
rnacentral:rRNA from 1 species